rnacentral:rRNA from 1 species
UUCCGGUUGAUCCUGCCGGACCCGACUGCUAUCAGAGUGAGAUUAAGCCAUGCGAGUUAACGUAGCAAUACGUGGCGCACGGCUCAGUAACACGUAGUCAACAUGCCCAGAGGACGUGGAUAACCUCGGGAAACUGAGUCUAAACCGCGAUAAGUGAGGAUUUCUGGAAUGGUUCCUGACUAAAAUCUAUAUGGCCUCUGGAUUGGACUGCGGCCGAUCAGGCUGUUGGUGAGGUAAUGGCCCACCAAACCUGUAACCGGUACGGGCUCUGAGAGGAGGAGCCCGGAGAUGGGCACUGAGACAAGGGCCCAGGCCCUAUGGGGCGCAGCAGGCGCGAAACCUCUGCAAUAGGCGAAAGCCUGACAGGGUUACUCUGAGUGACUUUCGCUAAGAAAGUCUUUUGGCACCUCUAAAAAGGGUGCAGAAUAAGGGGUGGGCAAGUCUGGUGUCAGCCGCCGCGGUAAUACCAGCACCCCGAGUGGUCGGGACGAUUAUUGGGCCUAAAGCAUCCGUAGCCGGUUCUGCAAGUCCCCCGUUAAAUCCAGCUGCUCAACAGGUGGGCCGCGGAGGAUACUACAGAGCUAGGAGGCAGGAGAGGCAAGCGGUACUCAGUGGGUAGGGGUAAAAUCCGUUGAUCCAUUGAAGACCACCAGUGGCGAAGGCGGCUUGCCAGAAUGCGCUCGACGGUGAGGGAUGAAAGCUGGGGGAGCAAACCGGAUUAGAUACCCGGGUAGUCCCAG